rnacentral:rRNA from 1 species
UACGUAGGGUGCAAGCGUUGUCCGGAAUUAUUGGGCGUAAAGAGCUCGUAGGCGGUUCGUCACGUCGGCUGUGAAAUCCCGAGGCUCAACCUCGGGUCUGCAGUCGAUACGGGCGGACUUGAGUACUGCAGGGGGAGACUGGAAUUCCUGGUGUAGCGGUGGAAUGCGCAGAUAUCAGGAGGAACACCGGUGGCGAAGGCGGGUCUCUGGGCCGAUACUGACGCUGAGGAGCGAAAGCGUGGGGGAGCGAACAGG